UGUCAUGUAAUUAAACAGGCAAGGGGACGA
rnacentral:piRNA from 1 species